rnacentral:tRNA from 1 species
UGGAGCAUGGUGCAAUGGUAGCACAAAGGACUCUGACCCCUUUGAUGUAAGUUCGAUUCUUACUGCUCCUGCCA